AUUCCAAUUUUAGUAUAUGUGCAAAAUUGGAACGAUACAGAGAAGAUUAGCAUGGCCCCUGCACAAGGAUGACAUGCACAUUCGUGAAGCGUAAGAAACAAGA